GGAGACAGAGCGGAGGUAUCCGGGGAGACAGGUGGUGCAUGGUUGUCGUCAGCUCGUGUCGUGAGAUGUUGGGUUAAGUCCCGCAACGAGCGCAACCCCUACGUUUAGUUGCUAACGCGUGAAGGCGAGCACUCUAGACGAACUGCCGUUGACAAAACGGAGGAAGUGGGGAUGACGUCAAAUCAUCAUGCCCCUUAUGUUCUGGGCUACACACGUGCUACAAUGGCCGGUACAGACGGACGCAAAGCCGCGAGGUGGAGCAAAUCCUAAAAAGCCGGUCUCAGUUCGGAUUGCAGGCUGCAAUUCGCCUGCAUGAAGUCGGAAUCGCUAGUAAUCGCAGGUCAGCAUACUGCGGUGAAUACGUUCCCGGGCCUU
rnacentral:rRNA from 1 species